rnacentral:rRNA from 1 species
AGUGAACGCUGGCGGUAGGCCUAACACAUGCAAGUCGAACGGCAGCACAGUAAGAGCUUGCUCUUACGGGUGGCGAGUGGCGGACGGGUGAGGAAUACAUCGGAAUCUACUUUUUCGUGGGGGAUAACGUAGGGAAACUUACGCUAAUACCGCAUACGACCUACGGGUGAAAGCAGGGGCUCUUCGGACCUUGCGCGAUUGAAUGAGCCGAUGUCGGAUUAGCUAGUUGGCGGGGUAAAGGCCCACCAAGGCGACGAUCCGUAGCUGGUCUGAGAGGAUGAUCAGCCACACUGGGACUGAGACACGGUCCAGACUCCUACGGGAGGCAGCAGUGGGGAAUAUUGGACGAUGGGCGCAAGCCUGAUCCAGCCAUACCGCGUGGGUGAAGAAGGCCUUCGGGUUGUAAAGCCCUUCUGUUGGGAAAGAAGAGCAGCAGGUUAAUACCCAGCUGUUCUGACGGUACCCAAAGAAUAAGCACCGGCUAACUUCGUG